UGCCCCAGUAACGGCGAGUGAAGCGGCAACAGCUCAAAUUUGAAAUCUGGCCCCCCGGCCCGAGUUGUAAUUUGCAGAGGAUGCUUUUGGCGAGGCACCUACCGAGUCCCCUGGAAUGGGGCGCCAUAGAGGGUGAGAGCCCCGUAUGGUGGGACGCCGAGCCUCUGUAAAGCUCCUUCGACGAGUCGAGUAGUUUGGGAAUGCUGCUCUAAAUGGGAGGUAAAUUUCUUCUAAAGCUAAAUACCGGCCAGAGACCGAUAGCGCACAAGUAGAGUGAUCGAAAGAUGAAAAGCACUUUGAAAAGAGGGUUAAAAAGUACGUGAAAUUGUUGAAAGGGAAGCGCUUGUGACCAGACUUGCGCCGGGCGGAUCAUCCAGCGUUCUCGCUGGUGCACUCCGCCCGGCUCAGGCCAGCAUCGGUUUUCGCCGGGGGACAAAGGCUUCGGGAACGUGGCUCCUUUCGGGGAGUGUUAUAGCCCGUUGCGCAAUACCCCGGCGGGGACCGACGACCGCGCUUCGGCAAGGAUGCUGGCGUAAUGGUCAUCAGCGACCCGUCUUGAAACACGGACCGAGGAGUCAAGCAUUAGUGCGAGUGUUUGGGUGUAAAACCCGCACGCGUAAUGAAAGUGAACGUAGGUGAGAGCUUCGGCGCAUCAUCGACCGAUCCUGAUGUUUUCGGAAGGAUUUGAGUAGGAGCAUUAACGCUUGGACCCGAAAGAUGGUGAACUAUACUUGAAUAGGGUGAAGCCA
rnacentral:rRNA from 1 species